GGCCCGAGAAGUCAAGCUUAAUCUCAUAAAGCCAUUCUCAGUUCGGACUGUAGGCUGCAAAUCGCCUACAAGAAGUGGGAAUCGCUAGUAAUCGCGGAUCAGCACGCCGCGGUGAAUACGUUCCCGGGCCUUGUACACACCGCCCGUCUCGGACAUGAGAGUUUGUAACACCCGAAGCCGGUGGCGUAACCCUUUAGGAG
rnacentral:rRNA from 1 species